UACGGGGGGAGCAAGCGUUGUUCGGAUUUACUGGGCGUAAAGGGCGCGUAGGCGGCCACCGCAAGUCGACUGUGAAAGCCCCGGGCUCAGCCCGGGAAGGGCGCUAGAAACUGCCGAGCUCGAGUGCCGGAGGGGAGAGUGGAAUUCCUGGUGUAGCGGUGAAAUGCGUAGAUAUCAGGAGGAAUACCUAUGGCGAAGGCAGCUCUCUGGGACGGUACUGACGCUGAGACGCGAAAGCGUGGGGAGCGAACAGG
rnacentral:rRNA from 1 species